ensembl:snRNA U6 U6 spliceosomal RNA
GUGCUUGCUUCGGCAGUACAUAUACUAAAAAUUGGAAAGACAGAGAGAAGAUCAGCAUGGCCCCUGUGCAAAGAUGACAUGCAAAUUCAUAAAGCAUUUCAUAUAUAU